CUGGCUCAGGACGAACGCUGGCGGCGUGCCUAAUACAUGCAAGUCGAGCGAAUCGAUGGGAGCUUGCUCCCUGAGAUUAGCGGCGGACGGGUGAGUAACACGUGGGCAACCUGCCUAUAAGACUGGGAUAACUUCGGGAAACCGGAGCUAAUACCGGAUACGUUCUUUUCUCGCAUGAGAGAAGAUGGAAAGACGGUUUACGCUGUCACUUAUAGAUGGGCCCGCGGCGCAUUAGCUAGUUGGUGAGGUAAUGGCUCACCAAGGCGACGAUGCGUAGCCGACCUGAGAGGGUGAUCGGCCACACUGGGACUGAGACACGGCCCAGACUCCUACGGGAGGCAGCAGUAGGGAAUCUUCCGCAAUGGACGAAAGUCUGACGGAGCAACGCCGCGUGAACGAAGAAGGCCUUCGGGUCGUAAAGUUCUGUUGUUAGGGAAGAACAAGUACCAGAGUAACUGCUGUACCUGAC
rnacentral:rRNA from 1 species